rfam:Agrilus planipennis Contig26102, whole genome shotgun sequence.
CCUCUCGUAGUUUAAUGGUCAGAAUAUUGGUGCGUGAAGCCAAACGUCCCGGGUUCGAUUCCCGGCGGGGGUG